GACGAACGCUGGCGGCGUGCUUAACACAUGCAAGUCGAACGGAAAGGCCCUGCUUUUGUGGGGUGCUCGAGUGGCGAACGGGUGAGUAACACGUGAGUAACCUGCCCUUGACUUUGGGAUAACUUCAGGAAACUGGGGCUAAUACCGGAUAGGAGCUCCUGCUGCAUGGUGGGGGUUGGAAAGUUUCGGCGGUUGGGGAUGGACUCGUGGCUUAUCAGCUUGUUGGUGGGGUAGUGGCUUACCAAGGCUUUGACGGGUAGCCGGCCUGAGAGGGUGACCGGCCACAUUGGGACUGAGAUACGGCCCAGACUCCUACGGGAGGCAGCAGUGGGGAAUAUUGCACAAUGGGCGGAAGCCUGAUGCAGCAACGCCGCGUGCGGGAUGACGGCCUUCGGGUUGUAAACCGCUUUCGCCUGUGACGAAGCGUGAGUGACGGUAAUGGGUAAAGAAGCACCGGCUAACUACGUGCCAGCAGCCGCGGUGAUACGUAGGGUGCGAGCGUUGUCCGGAUUUAUUGGGCGUAAAGGGCUCGUAGGUGGUUGAUCGCGUCGGAAGUGUAAUCUUGGGGCUUAACCCUGAGCGUGCUUUCGAUACGGGUUGACUUGAGGAAGGUAGGGGAGAAUGGAAUUCCUGGUGGAGCGGUGGAAUGCGCAGAUAUCAGGAGGAACACCAGUGGCGAAGGCGGUUCUCUGGGCCUUUCCUGACGCUGAGGAGCGAAAGCGUGGGGAGCGAACAGGCUUAGAUACCCUGGUAGUCCACGCUGUAAACGGUGGGUACUAGGUGUGGGGUCCAUUCCACGGGUUCCGUGCCGUAGCUAACGCUUUAAGUACCCCGCCUGGGGAGUACGGCCGCAAGGCUAAAACUCAAAGGAAUUGACGGGGCCCCGCACAAGCGGCGGAGCAUGCGGAUUAAUUCGAUGCAACGCGUAGAACCUUACCUGGGUUUGACAUGGAUCGGGAGUGCUCAGAGAUGGGUGUGCCUCUUUUGGGGUCGGUUCACAGGUGGUGCAUGGCUGUCGUCAGCUCGUGUCGUGAGAUGUUGGGUUAAGUCCCGCAACGAGCGCAACCCUUGUUCACUGUUGCCAGCACGUUAUGGUGGGGACUCAGUGGAGACCGCCGGGGUCAACUCGGAGGAAGGUGGGGAUGACGUCAAGUCAUCAUGCCCCUUAUGUCCAGGGCUUCACGCAUGCUACAAUGGCUGGUACAGAGAGUGGCGAGCCUGUGAGGGUGAGCGAAUCUCGGAAAGCCGGUCUCAGUUCGGAUUGGGGUCUGCAACUCGACCUCAUGAAGUCGGAGUCGCUAGUAAUCGCAGAUCAGCAACGCUGCGGUGAAUACGUUCCCGGG
rnacentral:rRNA from 1 species